rnacentral:rRNA from 1 species
AGUGAACGCUGGCGGUAGGCCUAACACAUGCAAGUCGAACGGCAGCACAGUAAGAGCUUGCUCUUACGGGUGGCGAGUGGCGGACGGGUGAGGAAUACAUCGGAAUCUACUUUUUCGUGGGUGAUAACGUAGGGAAACUUACGCUAAUACCGCAUACGACCUACGGGUGAAAGCAGGGGAUCUUCGGACCUUGCGCGAUUGAAUGAGCCGAUGUCGGAUUAGCUAGUUGGCGGGGUAAAGGCCCACCAAGGCGACGAUCCGUAGCUGGUCUGAGAGGAUGAUCAGCCACACUGGAACUGAGGAACGGGCCCAACUCCCACGGGAGGCAGCAGUGGGGAAUAUUGGACAAUGGGCGCAAGCCUGAUCCAGCCAUACCGCGUGGGUGAAGAAGGCCUUCGGGUUGUAAAGCCCUUUUGUUGGGAAAGAAAAGCAGCAGGUUAAUACCCCGCUGUUCUGACGGUACCCAAAGAAUAAGCACCGGCUAACUUCGUG